rnacentral:rRNA from 1 species
CCUACGGGAGGCUGCAGUGAGGAAUAUUGGUCAAUGGGCGCGAGCCUGAACCAGCCAAGUAGCGUGAAGGAUGACUGCCCUACGGUUUGUCAACUUCUUUUAUAAAGGAAUACAGUGAGGCACGCGUGCCUUUUUGUAUGUCCUUUAUGAAUAAGGAUCGGCUAACUCCGUGCCAGCAGCAGCGGUAAUACGGAGGAUCCGAGCGUUCGCCGGAGUUAUUGGGUUUAAAGGGAGCGUAGAUGGGUUGUUAAGUCAGUUGUGAAUGUUUGCGGCUCAACCGUAAAAUUGCAAUUGAUACUGGCAGCCUUGAGUACAGUUGAGGUAGGCGGAAUUCGUGGUGUAGCGGUGAAAUGCUUAGAUAUCACGAAGAACUCCGAUUGCGAAGGCAGCCUACUAAACUGCCACUGACAUUGAUGCUCGAAAGUGUGGGUAUCAAACAGGAUUAGAUACCCCAGUAGUC